UACGUAGGGUGCAAGCGUUGUCCGGAAUUAUUGGGCGUAAAGAGCUCGUAGGCGGUUUGUCGCGUCUGCUGUGAAAACUCGGGGCUUAACUCCGGGCCUGCAGUGGGUACGGGCAGACUAGAGUGCGGUAGGGGAGACUGGAAUUCCUGGUGUAGCGGUGAAAUGCGCAGAUAUCAGGAGGAACACCGGUGGCGAAGGCGGGUCUCUGGGCAUCAACUGACGCUGAGGAGCGAAAGCGUGGGGAGCGAACAGG
rnacentral:rRNA from 1 species